rnacentral:lncRNA from 1 species
ACAUUUUCAACUCUUAUACACAAUCUUUUUCAACUAGAAACUACCCUUACAAAGCUCUCAUUAGAACCCAAGAGAUCCUCUAAACCCCUGAACGACCGCUAUCCACUGCCUGACAGGCUACCCGAAACACUCCUAUACUUCUGCACUAUGUUGGCUGUUGUUGCUCUUUGCUCCAUGGGUUUUAGGUCUCUACUGAACCACCCCCACCCG